UACGUAGGGACCGAGCGUUGUCCGGAAUCAUUGGGCGUAAAGAGCGUGUAGGCGGCCACUUAAGUCCUGCGUGAAAUCUUGCGGCUCAACCGCAAGCGGUCGUGGGAAACUGGGUGGCUAGAGUGCGGGAGAGGAGAGUGGAAUUCCUGGUGUAGCGGUGGAAUGCGCAGAUAUCAGGAAGAACACCCGUGGCGAAGGCGGCUCUCUGGUCCGAAACUGACGCUGAGGUGCGAAAGCGUGGGGAGCAAACAGG
rnacentral:rRNA from 1 species